GCUGACUCCAGCAGCACACACCAAACUGAAAUAAGAUCAAUAUCAUCCCUGCACAAGGAUGACAGGCAAAUUCGUGAAGCAUUCAAUAUUUAC
rnacentral:snRNA from 1 species